rnacentral:lncRNA from 10 species
CUUGUAUUUUUAACCUGAAUGAAUUUUUCAAGACCAUUUACAUUUAAUGUGAUAAUGGAUCCAAGACUGUUUAAAUCUACCAUUUUGCUGUCUUUUUCUAUUCAUCCCAUCUGUGCUUUGUUUCUUUCCCCAUAUGUCUUGCAUUCUUUUAGGUUAAUUACUUUUUAGAAUUCUAUUUAUUUCCACUAUCAGUUUAUUAGCUAUACCUCUUUAAUUUUUAUGGUAGUUGUUCUAGGUUUUAAAUUAUACAUUGUUAACUAUCAGUCUGCCUUCCAGGUGAAGUAUACCACUCCAUGUACAGCUUAAGAACCUUAGUAAGGUUUCUUAUACCCUUCCCGUCCCCUUCCAUUCUUUGGGCUAUUGUCAUAACUUUUACUCCCAUGUGUUAUAAAACCUAUAAUGCAUUAUUAUUUUUGCUUUAAGCAACUAUCUUUUUAAAGCUACUAUUUCUUUAAUUCACAAUGUUGUGCAACCAUCACCACUAACUGCAGAACAUUUCCAUCGUGCAAAAAGGGAAAUCCUGUACCUGUUAGCAAUCACCUUCAAUGCAGUCAUCUUUUAAAGAGAAUAAAAUGGAAAAAAAAUUCUUAUGUUUACUCCCAGUUACCAUUUCUAGCACUUUUCAAUCCUUUGUGAAGAUCUAAAUUUCCAUUUUAAACCAUUUGCCUUCUGCCUGAAUAACUUCAACACUUCUUGUG